UUUUCCUAUUUUCAAAUACGGAGGAAAAGAAACCAACAGGGAUUGCCCUAGUAACGGCGAGUGAAGCGGCAACAGCUCAAAUUUGAAAGCUGGCCUUCGGGUCCGCAUUGUAAUUUGUAGAGGAUGCUUUGGGUGAAACGCCAGUCUAAGUUCCUUGGAACAGGACGUCAUAGAGGGUGAGAAUCCCGUAUGUGACUGGAAAUGUUAACCUAUGUAAAGCUCCUUCGACGAGUCGAGUUGUUUGGGAAUGCAGCUCUAAAUGGGAGGUAAAUUUCUUCUAAAGCUAAAUAUUGGCGAGAGACCGAUAGCGCACAAGUAGAGUGAUCGAAAGAUGAAAAGCACUUUGGAAAGAGAGUUAAAAAGCACGUGAAAUUGUUGAAAGGGAAGCGCUUGCAAUCAGACUUGUUUAAACUGUUCGGCCGGUCUUCUGACCGGUUUACUCAGUUUGGACAGGCCAGCAUCAGUUUCGGCGGCCGGAUAAAGGCUCUGGGAAUGUGGCCUUCACUUCGGUGAAGGUGUUAUAGCCCAGGGUGUAAUACGGCCAGCCGGGACUGAGGUCCGCGCUUCGGCUAGGAUGCGGCGUA
rnacentral:rRNA from 1 species